UUCUGGCACAUAAAUAUGUGUAAACCCUUUUAUUGGACCCAACUGUAGUUGUGGGGGAUCGGAUCGUAAUCCGCCCUACCGAGUUCAGUGCCAGAUACCUCUGAACCAACUAACAGUGGGUAAGUUUUUCUUUUUCUUUUUAUUUUUCUUUUUCUUUUUGUAGCAAAUUUUUACAAUUCUUUGGUUUAAAUGACUUUGUGAGGGUCACCUAUACCGGAGUUUCCUUUUUUCUUUCUUUUAUUUUUUUGUUUUUCUGG
rnacentral:lncRNA from 1 species